rnacentral:lncRNA from 1 species
CACAAAUGUGGAGGAGGGGCUUCUGGCUUUCCAAGCUAUUGCAGUUGGGUUAAACGACAACUUUAGGAUAUAUUUUAUGGUCUUAAGUAUAAGGUUAAGUUAUAAAAAAUCACAUGUGAUUCAUAGUUUCUGGUAGAAUUAAGAGCUAAUUUAUUUUUUAUUUUAUUAAUAUCUGUUGAGAAGAAAUAUUUAGGUUGGGAAAACUGAGUAUAAGCAUUUAUACUUAUGCAAUUUUUCUCUUGCUUUACCUACAGAACAUCACCUUCAUCUCUGCUGUAAUGCCCCCGAUGAAUAAUGUAAAAGAAAAUCAGCGCUCCUUACUGGAAGCCAUUUUACACGACAGGAUGGAAAAUCCAUCAGAUUUCAGGCUCUGUUGCUUCGACGAAACCUUGUGGUCACUGACGUUACACCGGGAUGGAGGUAAAGUCAACGCAUGGCUCAGUACCAGGGAGCAGAGGUGCUAGCCAAACGUCUGCUACGGGGUUACCUUUCCCAUGUGAGUGGGACUGACAGGAAGCCAGGACCACAUGAGCAAGCACACGAUGGCAAGAUAUUUUGGGGUGCCGCGUCUUUUGUUUUCUCUCUUGUGUUUUCUUGCUCCCUGUCUUAAGAUUUUUCUUUUCACCCCUCAGGCUUUUUAGCUUCUGGGUUGGGGGAUACACAGCCGCGUGGCAGAACACUUGCCUAGCUUAUGUGAGUCAAGAGUUCAAUUCCCAAUACAGAGGAGCCUAGACCCCAAACAGGGCUUUGUUACUGAAGAACUAAGAUCACAGAAAGGGAUUCAUUUAGACCUUUCUAUUAGCAACACAAGUGACUGCCUCAGAUCGGAAUGGAAGUUUUUUUUUUUUUUUUUUUUUUUUUUUUUUUUUUUUUUUUUGUUAUUGGUUUAUCCUUUAAGCUGUGCUAAAACUAACAAUUAAAAAAACCCAUAUUAGCCAGGCAUGGUGACACUGGCCUGUGAUCUUAGAACUAGGAAGGUGGAGGCAGGAGGAUCAGGAAUUCAGCUACGUAGUGAGUUUGAAGUGAGCCUGGACCAUGUAAGAUCCUGACACCACCACCACCACCAGUAAAAAAUGGUGGUGGUGCCAACAGUAGCAGCAACACAUGGAGUUGCUCAGCGAGGUGCCUCUUGUCAAAAAUUCCCAGCGUACAGGAGGAAGCUGAGGCAAGAGAAUUAUUAGACUUUCUAUGUUAGCCCAGGCUACAGGGUGAGAACUUAAAACAACCCCCAAAAACCAAUCCAACAAAAUAACAACAGAAGCAAACUGUGUUGCAUUGUGUUUUAGUUGGUGUCCUAUUGCUGUGAAGAGAACCAUGCCCAUGCAACUCUUUCUUAUAAAGGAAAGCGUUUAAUUGGGGCUUGCUUACAGUUUCAGGGGUUUAGUCCAUUUUCCUCAUGGAGGGGUGCAUGGUAGCCCUCAAGCAGACACACAACAGGAAGAGCAAUAGCCUCUGGACCUGGCUUUUUUUUUUUUUUUUUUUUUUUUCUGAGACAAGGUUUCUCUGUGUAGCUUUGGAACCUGUCCUGGCACUCAUUCUGUAGACCAAGCUGGCCUCAAACUCACAAAGGUCCACCUCCCUCUGCCUCUCAAGUGCUGGGAUUAAAGGUAUGUGCUGUCAUCAAUUGGCUUUCGGUUUUGAAACCUCAAAGCCCACCCACAGUGUCACACUUCCUCAAUGAGACCACACCUCCUAUCUCUGUCAAGUAGUGCCACUCCCUAAGAACCAUAUGAACCUAUGGGGGCAUUCCUAUUCAAACCAACUUGUAACCCAUGAACUCUGUGUGUGUGUAAAACUGGCCAUACUUUGCAAAAACAAACACUAAUAAAAGCAAACUAUGGUUGACCUGCCA